ACGGGUGAGUAAUGUCUGGGAAACUGCCUGAUGGAGGGGGAUAACUACUGGAAACGGUAGCUAAUACCGCAUAACCUCGCAAGAGCAAAGAGGGGGACCUUCGGGCCUCUCGCCAUCAGAUGUGCCCAGAUGGGAUUAGCUAGUAGGUGAGGUAAUGGCUCACCUAGGCGACGAUCCCUAGCUGGUCUGAGAGGAUGACCAGCCACACUGGAACUGAGACACGGUCCAGACUCCUACGGGAGGCAGCAGUGGGGAAUAUUGCACAAUGGGCGCAAGCCUGAUGCAGCCAUGCCGCGUGUGUGAAGAAGGCCUUCGGGUUGUAAAGCACUUUCAGCGAGGAGGAAGGCAGUCGUGUUAAUAGCACGGCUGAUUGACGUUACUCGCAGAAGAAGCACCGGCUAACUCCGUGCCAGCAGCCGCGGUAAUACGGAGGGUGCAAGCGUUAAUCGGAAUGACUGGGCGUAAAGCGCACGCAGGCGGUCUGUUAAGUUGGAUGUGAAAUCCCCGGGCUUAACCUGGGAACUGCAUUCAAAACUGACAGGCUAGAGUCUUGUAGAGGGGGGUAGAAUUCCAGGUGUA
rnacentral:rRNA from 1 species